rnacentral:sRNA from 1 species
AUGUAAAGUCUCUUGCCUUUCACCAAUUCUUUUCACAAAACAUACAAAUACAACUCUCAAAAAUGUUAGAGACCUAUGCAGAACAAUGAGUUCGGUUUUCUCGUGUGUAUGGUGUUAACGAUCUGUGCCAGAGAGUUUCUGAUAGAUGGACCCAAAGGGUUGGACCAUUCGAUCAGACCAUCAGCUAUACACUGACUCGGUGUAAGUUCCUAAUAAACCACUCUACUUGAUUCCAUACAUAACUCUUACAGAGUCAUGGUCAUGGAUAAUGCUGUGUUCGUCUACCAUCCAAGCCAAGAUUAGGUGCUUCAAGAGACGCUUAUGAUAGCUGCACCACAGAUGCAUCCAACACUAAAUUUACAGAUGGACACACAUCCCUCAUCCUCCCGGAAACACAGUUUCGCCUUGUUUCCUCUGUUUUGUCUUCUGCUCUCAUUGUUACUCUGUUUCUUUAUCUUUUCAGCUCAGUUGGUAAAUUGGCGUAUGUGUGUGUUGUUGUUGUUUAUUUCUAAUUUAAAU